rnacentral:rRNA from 1 species
UGUCAUCCUGUAUCAUGUUAUCUAUCCUUUCGACUUGACUUCAAGU